AUGGCAGAAAUAUUUGUCAGCAAUGAGUAUAUUGUGACAUAUUUUUGCUAUACGAUCCUGAUGACCCAUGUAGAAGCAAAUUCCACUCUUGAUUGUUUGACCAUUAAUAUUCAACGCCACAAAUUCCUUGAAGGAGCAGGUCAGAAAAUGAGAAGACCGCCAGCAACGCCCCCUCCCACAGUUAAGAGACUAUACUCACAUUGCCCUACGUGAGCUAGCACAGCCAGUAUCAAUAUCUGCUUGCUAAGUAUGUGUGCAACAGAAGGCAAUCUGAACAUAAGAACAAAUUAAGACAGCCUAGAAAUUGCACAGAUGAAGAAUCUACAAACAAGGACAUUAAAGAAUAUUAAAGCAGCACAGAGAAGUUAUUUCCAAGAAUUCAAGAAGCUUCAAAAAACAAAAGUUACACCAACACUUGUGAAGCUGGCCUAAUACACAGCAUGUGCACAAACCAAGACUUAUGUGGCUGAUGGCACCUUUUCAUCCAGAGCUUUGUGGUGUUCAAAUAAGGACUUCAGUGCUUUCAGCACUUCCACUUCGCUGGACACGCCUGCUGGAGACUGCGCUUGUCUCUUCACCACGGUCAUCCUAAGAGACCGCUCAUGCCUGGAGACAAGGCAUUCCAAAUGCUCUAACAGCAGCUGAAAUAAAAGGCCAAAAUAAAGACUUGUUAAACAGCA
rnacentral:lncRNA from 1 species